CCGCAAUUAAUGGAGAGCAACAACUAAUCAUUUCAGCUAUUUUCAAUUUGCUCAAUACCUCAACAAUUGAAGGAGUAGAGAGAUAACCUUCAUUCAUUACUCUGCCAAGUUCAAAGGGAUUCUAUCAGCUUCAUUUAAACCAACGACAAUCAGCCAACCAACAGUCAUUUUCAAGGGCGCAGCCUGUUCGGUCGAGCCAUGAAGCGAUGAUUGGGCGACGGCUCAAGGGGAUCCAAGCGCCAACCGUGAAUCACGGCGACGUGCAGAG